GACGAACGCUGGCGGCGUGCCUAAUACAUGCAAGUCGAGCGAAGUUUUUCUGGUGCUUGCACUACAAAAACUUAGCGGCGAACGGGUGAGUAACACGUAAAGAACCUGCCUCAUAGACUGGGACAACUAUUGGAAACGAUAGCUAAUACCGGAUAACAGCAUUAACUGCAUGGUUGAUGUUUAAAAGUUGGUUAUGCUAACACUAUGAGAUGGCUUUGCGGUGCAUUAGCUAGUUGGUGGGGUAAAGGCCCACCAAGGCGACGAUGCAUAGCCGACCUGAGAGGGUGAUCGGCCACACUGGGACUGAGACACGGCCCAGACUCCUACGGGAGGCAGCAGUAGGGAAUCUUCCGCAAUGGGCGAAAGCCUGACGGAGCAACGCCGCGUGAGUGAAGAAGGAUUUCGGUUCGUAAAGCUCUGUUGUUAGGGAAGAAUGGAUAUGUAGUAACUAUACAUGUAAGAGACGGUACCUAACCAGAAAGCCACGGCUAACUACGUGCCAGCAGCCGCGGUAAUACGUAGGUGGCAAGCGUUUGUCCGGAAUUAUUGGGCGUAAAGCGCGCGCAGGUGGUUUAAUAAGUCUGAUGUGAAAGCCCACGGCUCAACCGUGGAGGGUCAUUUGGAAACUGUUAAACUUGAGUGCAGGAGAGAAAAGUGGAAUUCCUAGUGUAGCGGUGAAAUGCGUAGAGAUUAGGAGGAACACCAGUGGCGAAAGCGGCUUUUUGGCCUGUACUGACACUGAGCGCGAAAGCGUGGGAGCCAACCAGGAUUUAGAUUACCCUGGUAGUCAAAGGGCGAAUUCCACCAGUGGGAUAUCAAGCUUAUCGAUACGUCGACCUCGAAGGGGGGGUCCGUUACCCAUCUUUAUGUUCCCUUUAGUGGAAGGUUACAUAA
rnacentral:rRNA from 1 species